ensembl:lncRNA
GCCUUCUCCGGGGAGCGCUCCCCUCCGCCGCCCCCGCCGCCGCCGCCGCCGCCACCGCCGCCGCCUUCCUCGCAGAGCCGCGGGCAGCGCAGCGGCACUCCGCCCAGGUCGGCCGCCUCCGCCCGCGGGCCGCGGAACGGCAGCUUCCGCCGGCGGCGGCGGAGCACGAAGGCGAAGAGCCCGGCGGCCACCAGCACGGCGGAGAAGAAGAGGACGAGGAGGCUGAGGAUGAGGACGGAGAGCGGCACGGCGGCGCCGGGCGGGGGCAGCUCGUCCUUGCCGUGGAAGUGGAAGGGGGUCUCGCAGGUGAUGUCCCCCACCAAGGCGGUGUAGGGGAUGCGCUCCAGCCAGCUCUUCAGCUGCACGAUCUCACACGUGCAGUUCCACGGGUUCUCCUCCAGCUGAAUCUCCAUCAGGCUCCUGCCAAUGUGGUCCAACAUCCCGCGGUACGAGAGCACUUUCAACCUGUUCCCGCGCAAGUCCAAGUGGGUUAAAGACACGGACUUAAAUAGAUAUUCCAGACUUUCCAAACCCAGGAAAGUGUCGUUUCUGAAAAUGUCCAAUUUGUUCUCAUGCAAAUACAACCUCUUCAGGACCCGGAGCCCAUUAAAAGCCCCCGUCUGAAUGUCCUGCAGUGCAUUGUUCCCAAGGUUAAUGGACACAGCGUUGUUUAAGUGAAGAAAACUGUUGGUGUACAAUUUCCUCAUGGAAUUCCUCUGCAGAUAAAGUUUAAAAGGUCUCGACCAC